AGAGUUUGAUCAUGGCUCAGGAUGAACGCUAGCUACAGGCUUAACACAUGCAAGUCGAGGGGCAGCAUGUUGGUUGCUUGCAACCAACGAUGGCGACCGGCGCACGGGUGAGUAACGCGUAUCCAACCUACCCUUGUCCAUCGGAUAACCCGUCGAAAGGCGGCCUAACACGAUAUGCGGUUCACAGCAGGCAUCUAACGUGAACGAAAUGUAAAGGAGAAGGAUGGGGAUGCGUCUGAUUAGCUUGUUGGCGGGGUAACGGCCACCAAGGCUACGAUCGAGUAGGGGUUCUGAGAGGAAGUCCCCCANAUUGGAACUGAGACACGGUCCAAACUCCUACGGGAGCA
rnacentral:rRNA from 1 species